rfam:Necator americanus N_americanus-1.0_Cont63282.1, whole genome shotgun sequence.
GCACUACUCUUUUCUGGGCAUAUUCUAUAGUUGGAACAAUACAGAGAACAUUAGCAUGACCUCUGCGCAAGGAUGACGCAAUUUCAUGAGGAGUUCCAAGUUUUU